rnacentral:rRNA from 1 species
GUUUGAAAGAGUUUGAUCCUAGCUCAGGGUUAACGCUAGCGGUGCGCCUAACACAUGCAAGUCGAGCGGGAUUAUUAGAAAGC